GACGAACGCUGGCGGCGUGCCUAAUACAUGCAAGUCGAACGCUGAAGAGAGGAGCUUGCUCUUCUUGGAUGAGUUGCGAACGGGUGAGUAACGCGUAGGUAACCUGCCUUGUAGCGGGGGAUAACUAUUGGAAACGAUAGCUAAUACCGCAUAACAAUGGAUGACACAUGUCAUUUAUUUGAAAGGGGCAAUUGCUCCACUACAAGAUGGACCUGCGUUGUAUUAGCUAGUAGGUGAGGUAAUGGCUCACCUAGGCGACGAUACAUAGCCGACCUGAGAGGGUGAUCGGCCACACUGGGACUGAGACACGGCCCAGACUCCUACGGGAGGCAGCAGUAGGGAAUCUUCGGCAAUGGGGGCAACACUGACCGAGCAACGCCGCGUGAGUGAAGAAGGUUUUCGGAUCGUAAAGCUCUGUUGUAAGUCAAGAACGGGUGUGAGAGUGGAAAGUUCACACUGUGACGGUAGCUUACCAGAAAGGGACGGCUAACUACGUG
rnacentral:rRNA from 1 species